rnacentral:rRNA from 1 species
GUGAGGAAUAUUGGACAAUGGGCGCAAGCCUGAUCCAGCCAUGCCGCGUGCAGGAAGACGCAUCUAUGGUGUGUAAACUGCUUUUGUACGGGAAGAAACACUCCCUCGUGAGGGAGCUUGACGGUACCGUAAGAAUAAGGAUCGGCUAACUCCGUGCCAGCAGCCGCGGUAAUACGGAGGAUCCAAGCGUUAUCCGGAAUCAUUGGGUUUAAAGGGUCCGUAGGCGGUGUAAUAAGUCAGUGGUGAAAGCCCAUCGCUCAACGAUGGAACGGCCAUUGAUACUGUUAGACUUGAAUUACAAGGAAGUAACUAGAAUAUGUAGUGUAGCGGUGAAAUGCUUAGAUAUUACAUGGAAUACCAAUUGCGAAGGCAGGUUACUACUUGUGGAUUGACGCUGAUGGACGAAAGCGUGGGGAGCGAACAGGAUUAGAUACCCCAGUAGUCC